GGUCAAGCUACAAAGGGCGCAUGGUGAAUGCCUUGGCAUCAGGAGCCGAUGAAGGACGUGAUAAGCUGCGAUAAGCUUCGGGUAGGCGCACAUAGCCUGAGAUCCGAAGAUCUCCUAAUGAGGAAACUCACAUGGGAAACCCCAUGUAUCAUUAAGUGAAUACAUAGCUUAAUGAAGGUAACCCAGGGAACUGAAACAUCUAAGUACCUGGAGGAAGAGAAAGAAAAAUCGAUUUUCUUAGUAGCGGCGAGCGAAAGGGAAAUAGCCCAAACCGGAAACUUGUUUCCGGGGUUGAGGACAUAACAUAAAGAGAAGUAAUGGCUAAUUGAAGAGAACUGGAAAGUUCCACCGUAGAAGGUAAUAGUCCUGUAAAUGAAAGCUAGUAUAA
rnacentral:rRNA from 1 species